rnacentral:rRNA from 1 species
GAUGAACGCUGGCGGCGUGCCUAAUACAUGCAAGUCGAGCGAACAGACGCGGAGCUUGUUCCUCUGACGUUAGCGGCGGGCGGGUGAGUAACACGUGGAUAACCUACCUAUCAGACUGGGAUAACUUCGGGACACCGGCGCUAAUAGCGUAUAAUAUAUUGAACCGCAUGGUUGAAUAGUGAAAGACGGUUUUGCUGUCACUUAUAGCUGGAUCUGCGCCGCAUUAGCUAGUUGGUAAGGUACCGGCUUAUCAAGGCGACGAUGCGUAGCCGACAUGAGAGGGUGAUCGGCCACACUGGAACGGAGACACGGUCCAGAGUCCUACGGGAGGCAGCAGUAGGGAAUCUUCCGCAAUGGGCGAGAGCCUGACGGAGCAACGCCGCGUGAGUGAUGAAGGUCUUCGGAUCGUAAAACUCUGUUAUUAGGGAAGAACAAAUGUGUAAGUAACUAGGCACGUCUUGACGGUACCUAAGCAGAGAGCCACGGCUAACUACGUG